GGUGGACGUGGAGAAGGAUGAGUGAGCAGAAUGAACUCCGGGAGGGUGUGGACCCCGAUAUGUUUGGAAAUCAUUCAAAGUAGGGGCUGGUGAAACUUGAAAAAUUGUAACUGAGGACAAGGAUUUUAUGAUUAAUACGAUGGAAGAUAGGAAGUAGAUUAAAGUUGGCAAGUGCAGAAGAAAUGGGAGCAUCCAAUCUAGUGAGAACAAAAUGUAAACUACAGAGUUUAGGAUUAAUCGCACUUUAUGAAAUGUGGAGACGGAGAUGCUGGGAUUAAGGAAGUUAACGUGAAGACAGAACAGAUUCCAAAUAUGCAUUUUAUCACUGAAUGCAGGUGGCUGAAUGACUUCAAUGUUUGGAUCCAAGGAAGGGCAUAACUAGAAUCCAGACUCAGUGCAAUAGAGACUCCAGGCCAGGCAGCUGCUGCAAUGGAGAAGGAAAAGGCAAGAAAGGAUUUCAUCAUAACCAUGUGACUGUGAUGAUGUUGACAAUAACAACACAUUGCACUUACGUAGAGACUUGUGUAUGAUGAAACUGUUUUGUGCGAGAAUUGGCAAACAACACCUGACACCUAUCAGAAUAGUGAUACAUUAACUUUUGACUUCCAUCAUGUGAUUUCAUUAUUCAAGACCUUUUGUGGGCUAAAAUUGUUUUAAAAAGGGAAAACACUGAAUUAUGACGGAUGCAUUUGACCCGGUUGAUCUAAGCUCAUGAAACUAUUAAUAAAUAAGCUGAAAUUA